rnacentral:sRNA from 1 species
GCCAGGCAUGGUGGCUCAUGCCUGUAAUCUCAGCACUUUGGGAGGCCGAGGCAGGCGGAUCACCUGAGGUCAGGAGUUCUAGAACAGACUGGUCAACAUGGUGAAACCACGUCUCUACUAAAAAUACAAAAUAUUAGCUGGACGUGGUGGCGGGUGCCUGUAAUUCCAGCUACUCGGGAAGCUGAGGCAGGAGAAUCACUUGAGUCCACGAGGUGGAGGUUGCAGUGAGCUAUCGUGCCAUUGCACUCCAGCCUGGGCAACAAGAGUGAAACUCUGUCUCA